UGGGGAAUAUUGUACAAUGGAGGGAACUCUGAUGCAGCGACGCCGCGUGAACGAAGAAGGCUUUCGAGUCGUAAAGUUCUUUUAUAUGGGAAGAUAAUGACGGUACCAUAAGAAAAAGCACCGGCUAACUACGUGCCAGCAGCCGCGGUAAUACGUAGGGGGCUAGCGUUGUCCGGAAUCACUGGGCGUAAAGGGUUCGCAGGCGGAAAUGCAAGUCAGGUGUAAAAGGCAGUAGCUUAACUACUGUAAGCAUUUGAAACUGCAUAUCUUGAGAAGAGUAGAGGUAAGUGGAAUUUUUAGUGUAGCGGUGAAAUGCGUAGAUAUUAAAGAGAAUACCGGUGGCGAAGGCGACUUACUGGGCUCAUUCUGACGCUGAGGAACGAAAGCGUGGGUAGCAAACAGG
rnacentral:rRNA from 1 species